rnacentral:rRNA from 1 species
UACGUAGGGAGCAAGCGUUGUCCGGAAUCAUUGGGCGUAAAGGGCGCGUAGGCGGCCCGGUAAGUAGGGGGUGAAAUCCUGAGGCUCAACCUCAGGGCUGCCUUCUAAACUGCCAGGCUCGAGCACAGUAGAGGCAGGUGGAAUUCCCGGUGUAGCGGUGGAAUGCGUAGAGAUCGGGAAGAACAUCGGUGGCGAAGGCGGCCUGCUGGGCUGUUGCUGACGCUGAGGCGCGACAGCGUGGGGAGCAAACAGG